rnacentral:lncRNA from 1 species
ACGCCGCGAAUCCCCUUUGCUCUAAUGCCAAAAGAUGGCUCAGCCGCCAAAGUCCUAUUACACCAUCCAAAGCCCCCCCCUUUUCUCCAAGGUCAAAUUGCUUUUAUAAAUCCCAACUUCCGCCACAUUAAUUAAUGGGCCGAAACUAAUUAACUAAAGCCCAUUUUCUAAAGUUAAAAUUAUGGCAGAUCCUUAUGAGGAUUAGUAAUUACGUGCGUCUUUUGGAUCUUCACAAAUUGAUAUUAAAAUCCCAUCUUUUUCAUCCUUCUUUCAUUCGACCUCAUCGUCAUCAAAUUCUUCAAUUCCUGCACAAAAAUUCUUUCAUUCGACCUCAUCGCCAUCAAAUUCUUCAAUUCCUGCACAAAAAUUCAUUUAAUUGUGUAUAUUAAAUUCGCACAAAAUAAUUCAAGAAUAUGAACAACUAAAAUACACACAUCAAUGAUCCUUUCUCUAUCUAAUUCAAGAUAUAGGGAUCUAAAAAAUAUUCUCUCCGUCUCGUAAAAGAGUAUCACUUGUGGUUGUGAGAUAACACGAGUUUUAAGAAAUGUUUGGUUGAUAAUAUGUUGAGUGGAGAAAAUGGAUCCACUACUUUUUUAAGAAAAUGAUGAUGUGUGUGGUAGAUAAUGUGUGGAUUCAUGUCCCAAAAGGAAAACGAUAAUUUCUUAUGGGAUGGAUAAAAAUGGAAAAGUUGAUAUUUUUUUAUCGGACAGAGGGAGUAUAUUACAUCCCAUAGUCUCCAC